UACGUAGGGGGCAAGCGUUGUCCGGAAUCAUUGGGCGUAAAGCGCGUGUAGGCGGCCAGAAAAGUCCGCUGUGAAAACUCGAGGCUCAACUUCGAGCUGUCGGUGGAAACUUUCUGGCUAGAGUCCGGAAGAGGAGAAUGGAAUUCCUGGUGUAGCGGUGAAAUGCGCAGAUAUCAGGAAGAACACCCGUGGCGAAGGCGGUUCUCUGGGACGGUACUGACGCUGAGGCGCGAAAGCGUGGGGAGCAAACAGG
rnacentral:rRNA from 1 species